rnacentral:rRNA from 1 species
GAUCAUGCUCAGGAUGAACGCUGGCGGCGUGCCUAACACAUGCAAGUCGAGCGAAGCGGUUUUGAGGAAGUUUUCGGAUGGAAUUAAAAUUGACUGAGCGGCGGACGGGUGAGUAACGCGUGGGUAACCUGCCUCAUACAGGGGGAUAACAGUUAGAAAUGGCUGCUAAUACCGCAUAAGCACACAGCUUCGCAUGGAGCAGUGUGAAAAAUUCCGGUGGUAUGAGAUGGACCCG